rnacentral:rRNA from 1 species
CCUACGGGAGGCUGCAGUGGGGAAUAUUGGACAAUGGGGGCAACCCUGAUCCAGCCAUGCCGCGUGUGUGAAGAAGGCCCUCGGGUUGUAAAGCACUUUCAGUGAGGAAGAACGCCUGGUGGUUAAUACCCAUCAGGAAAGACAUCACUCACAGAAGAAGCACCGGCUAACUCCGUGCCAGCAGCCGCGGUAAUACGGAGGGUGCGAGCGUUAAUCGGAAUUACUGGGCGGAAAGCGCGCGUAGGUGGCUUGAUAAGCCGGUUGUGAAAGCCCCGGGCUCAACCUGGGAACGGCAUCCGGAACUGUCAAGCUAGAGUGCAGGAGAGGAAGGUGGAAUUCCCGGUGUAGCGGUGAAAUGCGUAGAGAUCGGGAGGAAUACCAGUGGCGAAGGCGGCCUUCUGGACUGACACUGACACUGAGGUGCGAAAGCGUGGGUAGCAAACAGGAUUUAGAUACCCUGGUAGUC